GAUCUUGACUUGGAAGCAACUUUUGUUUAUCGACAGAUGUUUCCAAGGUCAAGAAUAAA
rnacentral:pre_miRNA from 1 species